AUACGGAGGAUGCAAGCGUUAUCCGGCUUUAUUGGGUUUAAAGGGUGCGUAGGCGGAGGAGUAAGUCAGGGGUGAAAUGCCGCAGCUUAACUGUAAAAGUGCCGUUGAUACUGUGAGGCUAGGAUUUGGUUGCUGUGGGUGGAAUGCGUGGUGUAGCGGUGAAAUGCUUAGAGAUCACACAGAAUAUCGAUUGCGAAGGCAGCUCACAAAGCCAAGAUUGACGCUGAGGCACGAAAGUGUGGGGAUCAAACAGGAUUAGAUACCCUGGUAGUCCACACUGUAAACGAUGAUAACUCGCUGUCGGCGAUAUACAGUCGGUGGCCAAGCGAAAGCGAUAAGUUAUCCACCUGGGGAGUACGACCGCAAGGUUGAAACUCAAAGGAAUUGACGGGG
rnacentral:rRNA from 1 species